UGGCGGCAUGCCUAAUACAUGCAAGUCGAACGGAGUUACCUUCGGGUAACUUAGUGGCGAACGGGUGAGUAACACGUAGGUAAUCCAUCCCAAGGACGAGGAUAGCUUCUGGAAACGGAAGGUAAAACUGGAUAGUUAAUUAAAGGGCAUCCUUUAGUUAUUAAAAGAGCAAUCUACCCUGGGAAGAGCCUGCGGCGCAUUAGCUAGUUGGUGAGGUAAUGGCCCACCAAGGCGAUGAUGCGUAGCCGGACUGAGAGGUCGACCGGCCACAUUGGGACUGAGACACGGCCCAGACUCCUACGGGAGGCAGCAGUAGGGAAUUUUCGGCAAUGGGCGGAAGCCUGAACCCGGAGCAAUGCCGCGUGAAUGAUGAAGUUAUUUCGGUAUGUAAAGUUCUUUUAACAGGGACGAAAAAACAAAUUGACGGUACCUGUUGAAUAAGCUCCGGCUAACUACGUGCCAGCCGCCGC
rnacentral:rRNA from 1 species